rnacentral:rRNA from 1 species
AGAGUUUGAUUCUGGCUCAGGAUGAACGCUAGCGACAGGCCUAACACAUGCAAGUCGAGGGGCAGCGGGUGCUGCACCGCCGGCGACCGGCGCACGGGUGAGUAACGCGUAUGCGACCUGCCCGCCACCGCGGGAUAGCCUCCCGAAAGGGAGAUUAACACCGCAUGGUCCGGAGCCUAUAAAGGGGUUCCGGCAAACGCGAGGGUGGCGGAUGGGCAUGCGUCCCAUUAGGCAGCAGGCGGGGUAACGGCCCGCCUGGCCGACGAUGGGUAGGGGUCCUGAGAGGGAGGUCCCCCACACUGGUACUGAGACACGGACCAGACUCCUACGGGAGGCAGCAGUGAGGAAUAUUGGUCAAUGGGCGAGAGCCUGAACCAGCCCAUGUCGCGUGCAGGACUACGGCCCUACGGGUCUUAAACUGCUUUUGGCCGGGGAUAAAGGAGGGGACUUGUCCCCUUUUGCAGGUACCGGCCGAAUAAGGAUCGGCUAACUCCGUGCCAGCCGCAGC